AGAGAUGUGUGAUGACGCAUAUCAAUAAGCGGAGGAAAAGAAACUAACAAGGAUUCCCCUAGUAACGGCGAGUGAAGCGGGAAGAGCUCAAAUUUGAAAUCUUCAAGGUUCUACCUUGACGAAUUGUAGUUUAUAGAAGUGUUUUCUGUUAGUGGAGUGGCAAAAGUUCUUUGGAAUAGGACAUCAUAGAGGGUGAGAAUCCCGUAUUUGGUCAUUCCUCCUAGCGUUGUGAUACACUUUCAACGAGUCGGAUUGUUUGGGAAUGCAGUCCAAAAUGGGUGAUAAAUUUCAUCUAAAGCUAAAUAUUGGCGAGAGACCGAUAGCGAACAAGUACCGUGAGGGAAAGAUGAAAAGAACUUUGAAAAGAGAGUUAAACAGUACGUGAAAUUGUCAAAAGGGAAGCGUUUGACACCAGUGUUGUUUUUCCGAAAAUCAAUUACGAAUGUUUUUAUUUUUGAGGAGUUAUGACUUCAUCGGCUUGCUCCUUUCUUUAUGAAACUUUCUUAAUGCACUUUUCGGUUAACAAGUCAACAUCAAUUUCUUUUGUUGUAAAAGGGUAUGAGGAAGGUGGCUUUCUUUUCGGAGAAAGUGUUUAUAGCCUUGUGCCUCUGCAAUCGGAGAGAUUGAGGUCUGCAGCGUAGAUCCUUCGGGGUUAGAUACUUUUGUGCUAAGUUAUAGCUUUUCAUAGACAACUUGUUGACUAUGUUUAGUCUUGUAGCUUACUCGCUUAUGCUAUUUUACCUACGCUUAGGAUGUUGAACUCUAUCACACACA
rnacentral:rRNA from 1 species